GAUGAACGCUGGCGGCGUGCCUAAUACAUGCAAGUCGAGCGAACGGACGAGAAGCUUGCUUUUCUGAUGUUAGCGGCGGACGGGUGAGUAACACGUGGAUAACCUACCUAUAAGACUGGGAUAACUUCGGGAAACCGGAGCUAAUACCGGAUAAUAUUUUGUACCGCAUGGUUCAAAAGUGAAAGACGGUCUUGCUGUCACUUAUAGAUGGAUCCGCGCUGCAUUAGCUAGUUGGUAAGGUAACGGCUUACCAAGGCAACGAUGCAUAGCCGACCUGAGAGGGUGAUCGGCCACACUGGAACUGAGACACGGUCCAGACUCCUACGGGAGGCAGCAGUAGGGAAUCUUCCGCAAUGGGCGAAAGCCUGACGGAGCAACGCCGCGUGAGUGAUGAAGGUCUUCGGAUCGUAAAACUCUGUUAUUAGGGAAGAACAUAUGUGUAAGUAACUGUGCACAUCUUGACGGUACCUAAUCAGAAAGCCACGGCUAACUACGUG
rnacentral:rRNA from 1 species